rnacentral:tRNA from 1 species
GCCGCACUAGCCCAACCUUUGGCAGAGGCAUGAGCUUUAAGCGUUCAGAGUUCCCAGUUCGAAUCUGGGGUGCGGUACCA